AAGUCCCCACUCCACCCCUCCCAGAAGUCCAGCCAGCUUCACCUCCCAUUGGCAUUUGCCCCUGGACUUUGCACCUAGCCAGGGCAGUCCCACCGCCAGGGGCUUGGCAAGUCCGUGCCCACCAGGAACCCUCGCCGGCCCAGGAGCGCCCGUGCCUCCCUGUCCACACCUCACAGCCAGCAGAGGGAGCUGGUUCCGGCCUCGGCCGGCCCCAGAGAGGGGCCCCACAGCGCUGUGGCGGGCAGAAGAGCUAUUUGAGCAGGGCCAGAGAGGACGCUGAGGCCAAGGAGGCACUGAGAGGGAGCCAGGGCUGCUAACACAUUGUCACCUCUCACUGGGAUUACAGUGAAGUUCUGCAACAACAGAAAAUGUGUGACAAAAAUGCCAGAAUUAUUAUAGUCUCCCUUUAGUUCCUGAAUAUCAUUAAGAAAAGAAAAUUAAUCUGCUACUCUUAGAAGAGUUCCAGGGCUAUGAAUAACUAUUCUAUGAAAAAAUAAUAUCACAGUGAAUUUACUUCAUUUCCCUAAAACAUCUAAGUAUAUAGUAAAAAGAGAGAGUAUUCCCUCCAGACAAAGGCUUUCAAGCAACCACAGGAGAAAAUGCCCUGUGUAGGGAUAAUGAAUAUUAAUCUAAAAUAAUUUUUUCUAAUAUAUGGUUUAAUUCCAUCGC
rnacentral:lncRNA from 10 species